rnacentral:lncRNA from 1 species
UUCUGCUUAACGUUUGGGGGACGUCCGCAGCUUCCGCGGGGGCAGAAGGUGAUAUACAAGCUGGGAUGGAGAAAAUUGUGAAAAGGACCUGAAAGUGUUGAUAAGAAAAUAAGAGAAAGAAGUCUUCAAAAAGGGAAGUGAUCUAGAAUUUUCCCAGCAUACUGCUAAAUGCAUUGUGAAACUACAGACUUGGUUUGUUUGCAAUUCACAAAUAGGAGCCU